rnacentral:rRNA from 1 species
UACGGAGGAUGCCAAGCGUUAUCCGGAUUUAUUGGUUUGAAAGGGUGCGUAGGCGGCCUGUUAAGUCAGGGGUGAAAGACGGUAGCUCAACUAUCGCAGUCGCCCUUGAUACUGAUGGGCUUGAAUACACUAGAGGUAGGCGGAAUGUGGACAAGUAGCGGUGAAAUGCAUAGAUAUGUCACAGAACACCGAUUGCGAAGGCAGCUUACUAUGGUGUCAUUGACGCUGAGGCACGAAAGCGUGGGGAUCAAACAGG